UUCCAAGGAUCUCACAAUCUAGACAAAAGAUAAAUACACCAAUUAUAUAAAAGGCAGGGAAGGGUGGAAUCAGUGCUAAACCAAAGAUACCAUAAGCUUUCAUAAAGGGAAUAAUAGGGAGAUGAGGCUGUGGCCAUUCUUCCUUAAGUGCCAGAAUGAUGAUUUGGGACUUGACUACACAGACAAAGUUCUUGAACUGAUCAGAACUCUGAUCAGUUUUAGUGUAAAGCUGAUCAGUUUUAAUUGAUCCAUGUACUGUUUUAGAAAAACUAUCCUUACAGUUUGUGUAGAAUGGAUUGAACUGGGGUGUGGUGGUUCACGCCUGUAAUCCCAACACUUUGGGAGGACGAGGUGUGUGGAUUUCUUCAGCCCAGGAGUUCAAGACCAGCCUGGAUAAUAUGGUGAAACCCCGUUUCUAUAAAAAAAUACAAAAAUAAGUCAGGGUGUGGUGGUGCACCUGUGGUCCCAGCCACUCAGAAGGCUGAGAUGGGAGGAUCGCUUGAGCCCAGGAGGAGGAAGUUGCAGUGAGCUGUGAUUACGCCACUACACUACAGUCUGGGCAACAGAGUUACACCCUGUCUCAAAAAAAAAAAAAAAAAAGAAAAGAAGUGCUCUAAUCUGUAUUAUUUCCUUACCUCUGCAAACUUAGUUUGUUCUUGUUUAUCUAGUUCCUUCGCCCCCAUGAUUCAAUUAUCUCCACCUGGUCCCUACAAUUCAAGAUGAGAUAUGGGUGGGGACACAGAAAAGCCAUAUCAAAAACCAUAUUGUGAUCCUUCAGUAACCAGUCUCCAAGAAGGCCCCAGUGAUCUCCACUUUCUAGUAUUAAAUGACCUUAUGUAGCCUCCUCCCAUACUCAUUAGGGUUGACCUGUGUAACCUAUAGAAUAUUGCAGACAUGAUGGUGUGUGACUUCUGAGGCUAUAGAUAUCAUAAUAGGUAUUGUCAUUUCUGCCUUACAUCUGGAGAAAGCCAGAUGCCAUAUUGUAAAGACACUACAGAGAAGUUCAAAUGGCAUGGAACUGAGGCCUGCUACAAAGACCCAGCACAAACUUGCCAAGUAUGUGAGUGAACCAUAUUGAAAGCAGAUCCGCCAGCCCCAGUCAAGCCCCAAAUGACAUCUUGACACCAACGUUAUGAGAUAACCUGAGCCAGAAUCACCCCCCUAAGCCAAUUCUAGAUUCCUGACCUAAAGAAACUGUGUGAGAUAAUGCUUGUUAUUUUCAGUUGCUAAAUUUUGGGUAAUGUGUCACACAAUACAGAUAAUAAAGGUCUCAUCUUGCACAGGGAUGGCAAUUUUCCUCUUCUCUAUCCUAUCUCCUAUAACUAACUCCAGAUUCAUAUAUUGAGUCAGAUCCUCACAUGCUGUAAGGCAGAGGUCCCCAGCCUGUUAGGAUCAGGCUGCACAGCAGGAGGUGAGGGGCAGGUGAGUGAGUGAAGCUUCAUCUGUAUUUAUAGCCAUUCCCCAUUGCUUGCAUGACCGCCUGAACUCUGCCUUCUGUCAGAACAGCAGCAGCAUUAGAUUCUCAUAGGAGCACAAACCCUAUUGUGGACUGCACAUGUGAGGGAUCUAGGUUGCAUGCUCCUUAUGAGAAUCUAGCAUUCUAUUUAUACAACAGGUUGCAAAUGUUAAUUGGCUCUAUAGUUACUGAUUAUUCCAGUGAUAUUUCAGUGCCCCUUUCAGAUAAAUGAUUUGGGCAACGCCCCAACUGCUUACCUUUUAAUCCAGAUCUGGUUGUGGUUAAAAAAAAGAGCAGGAAUAUACAAAAAUUAACUGGGCAUGAUGGGGUGCAAGCCUAUAAUCCCAGCUGCUCCGGAAGCUGAAGCAGGAGAAUUGCUUGAACCCAGGAAGUGGAGGUUGCAAUGAGCUGAGAUCACACUGUUGCACUCCAGCCUGGGUGACAGAGCGAGACUGUCUCAAAAAAAAAAAAAAAAGGCCAGGCGCAGUGGUUCAUGCCUGUAAUCCCAGCACUAUGGGAGGCCGAGGCAGGCAGAUCACCUGAGGUCAGGAGUUUGACACCAGCCUGGCCAACAUAGUGAAACCCCGUCUCUACUAAAAAUACAAAAAUUAGCUGGGUGUGGUGGUGCACGCCUGUAGUCCCAGCUACUCAGGAGGCUGAGACAGGUGAAUCACUUGAACCCAGGAGGCAGAGGUUGCAGUGAGCUGAGAUUGAACCAUUGCACUCCAGCCUGGGCAACAGAGUGAGACUCCGUCUCAAA
rnacentral:lncRNA from 1 species